GAUCAUGGCUCAGGAUGAACGCCAGCUACAGGCUUAACACAUGCAAGUCGCGGGGCAGCAUGUGUGUGCUUGCACACAAUGAUGGCGACCGGCGCACGGGUGAGUAACGCGUAUCCAACCUUCCCCUUAGUAGGGCAUAGCCCGGCGAAAGUCGGAUUAAUACCCUAUGUUCUUCGUAGAUGGCAUCUGAGACGAAGCAAAGGUUAGCGCUAAGGGAUGGGGAUGCGUCUGAUUAGGCAGUCGGCGGGUAACGGCCCACCGAGCCAUCGAUCAGUAGGGGUUCUGAGAGGAAGGUCCCCCACAUUGGAACUGAGACACGGUCCAAACUCCUACGGGAGGCAGCAGUGAGGAAUAUUGGUCAAUGGGCGAGAGCCUGAACCAGCCAAGUUAAGCGUGCAGGACGACGGCCCUACGGGUUGUAAACUGCUUUUAUGCGGGGAUAAAGUGCCCUACGUGUAGGGUAUUGCAGGUACCGCAUGAAUAAGGACCGGCUAAUUCCGUGCCAGCCGCGGC
rnacentral:rRNA from 1 species